UCUUGGAUGAGUUGCGAACGGGUGAGUAACGCGUAGGUAACCUGCCUUGUAGCGGGGGAUAACUAUUGGAAACGAUAGCUAAUACCGCAUAACAAUGGAUGACUCAUGUCAUUUAUUUGAAAGGGGCAAAUGCUCCACUACAAGAUGGACCUGCGUUGUAUUAGCUAGUAGGUGAGGUAACGGCUCACCUAGGCGACGAUACAUAGCCGACCUGAGAGGGUGAUCGGCCACACUGGGACUGAGACACGGCCCAGACUCCUACGGGAGGCAGCAGUAGGGAAUCUUCGGCAAUGGGGGCAACCCUGACCGAGCAACGCCGCGUGAGUGAAGAAGGUUUUCGGAUCGUAAAGCUCUGUUGUAAGUCAAGAACGAGUGUGAGAGUGGAAAGUUCACACUGUGACGGUAGCUUACCAGAAAGGGACGGCUAACUACGUGCCAGCAGCCGCGGUAAUACGUAGGUCCCGAGCGUUGUCCGGAUUUAUUGGGCGUAAAGCGAGCGCAGGCGGUUUGAUAAGUCUGAAGUUAAAGGCUGUGGCUCAACCAUAGUUCGCUUUGGAAACUGUCAAACUUGAGUGCAGAAGGGGAGAGUGGAAUUCCAUGUGUAGCGGUGAAAUGCGUAGAUAUAUGGAGGAACACCGGUGGCGAAAGCGGCUCCCUGGCCUGUAACUGACGCUGUAGUCCACGCCGUAAACGAUGAGUGCUAGGUGUUGGAUCCUUUCCGGGAUUCAGUGCCGCAGCUAACGCAUUAAGCACUCCGCCUGGGGAGUACGACCGCAAGGUUGAAACUCAAAGGAAUUGACGGGGGCCCGCACAAGCGGUGGAGCAUGUGGUUUAAUUCGAAGCAACGCGAAGAACCUUACCAGGUCUUGACAUCCCGAUGCUAUUUCUAGAGAUAGAAAGUUACUUCGGUACAUCGGUGACAGGUGGUGCAUGGUUGUCGUCAGCUCGUGUCGUGAGAUGUUGGGUUAAGUCCCGCAACGAGCGCAACCCCUAUUGUUAGUUGCCAUCAUUCAGUUGGGCACUCUAGCGAGACUGCCGGUAAUAAACCGGAGGAAGGUGGGGAUGACGUCAAAUCAUCAUGCCCCUUAUGACCUGGGCUACACACGUGCUACAAUGGUUGGUACAACGAGUUGCGAGUCGGUGACGGCAAGCUAAUCUCUUAAAGCCAAUCUCAGUUCGGAUUGUAGGCUGCAACUCGCCUACAUGAAGUCGGAAUCGCUAGUAAUCGCGGAUCAGCACGCCGCGGUGAAUACGUUCCCGGGCCUUGUACACACCGCCCGUCACACCACGAGAGUUUGUAACACCCGAAGUCGGUGAGGUAACCUUUUGGAGCCAGCCGCCUAAGGUGGGAUAGAUGAUUGGGGUGAAGUCGUAACAAGGUAACCAA
rnacentral:rRNA from 1 species